rnacentral:rRNA from 1 species
UACAGAGGUCUCAAGCGUUGUUCGGAUUCAUUGGGCGUAAAGGGUGCGUAGGCGGCGCGGUAAGUCGGGUGUGAAAUCUCGGAGCUUAACUCCGAAACUGCAUUCGAUACUGCCGUGCUUGAGGACUGGAGAGGAGACUGGAAUUUACGGUGUAGCGGUGAAAUGCGUAGAUAUCGUAAGGAAGACCAGUGGCGAAGGCGGGUCUCUGGACAGUUCCUGACGCUGGAGGCACGAAGGCCCAGGGGAGCAAAACGGG